rnacentral:rRNA from 1 species
AGUUUGAUCCUGGCUCAGAAUGAACGCUGGCGGCAGGCCUAACACAUGCAAGUCGAGCGGGGACUUCGGUCCUAGCGGCGGACGGGUGAGUAACGCGUGGGAACAUACCCUUUGGUACGGAAUAGCCUCGGGAGACUGAGAGUAAUACCGUAUGUGGUCGUAAGACGAAAGAUUUAUCGCCAAAGGAUUGGCCCGCGUUGGAUUAGGUAGUUGGUGGGGUAAUGGCCUACCAAGCCGACGAUCCAUAGCUGGUUUGAGAGGAUGAUCAGCCACACUGGGACUGAGACACGGCCCAGACUCCUACGGGAGGCAGCAGUGGGGAAUCUUAGACAAUGGGCGCAAGCCUGAUCUAGCCAUGCCGCGUGAUCGAUGAAGGCCUUAGGGUUGUAAAGAUCUUUCAGUGGGGAAGAUAAUGACGGUACCCACAGAAGAAGCCCCGGCUAACUCCGUGCCAGCAGCCGCGGUAAUACGGAGGGGGCUAGCGUUAUUCGGAAUUACUGGGCGUAAAGCGCACGUAGGCGGAUUAACAAGUCAGAGGUGAAAUCCCAGGGCUCAACCUUGGAACUGCCUUUGAAACUGUUAGUCUUGAGGUCGUGAGAGGUGAGUGGAAUUC